GUCAUAUCAUGGGAACUACCUUUCAAAGGCACAGCUUUAGUGCACAGUUCAGCACACAAGGGAAGAGAAACAUAUAAGUUUGGGCAACCAAAAGAAAGUAAGUUUUUUUAAAAAGCAACUUUUUCCCCACAGUGUUCAGAACUCUUUGAUGUUUAAGCAGCUUGUACUGUUAACAACUAACUCUCUUUUGUGACUUCUUGUGGUCUUGCAAAAAGUGAGAGAUCUGCUAUCAAUAUGGAAAGCUUUACUAUUUGUAUUUGAAAAGGACUUGUUUUCUUUCAUAUAUAUUUGUGUAAAGUUUGAUUUGUUGUUUAGGCUGCUCAUGGUAAUUCCUCAAUAAUAUGCUUGGUCAUUAUGUGAAAUGCUAUUCUGGGCCUCAUAUAUGUAUGUAUUUUAAUAGCAAUGCUUUGGGGAUGCUUUGUGAAUAAAAUGUCAUAGUGUAAUUGCAUUUGCAUUGCUUCAGUAAAGCUUUUGUUCAUAUACAUUUUAGAAUUGUGCAAUUUGCAGCUCUGAAUUUUUGAUAUGAAGAAAUAAUCACCCAGGCACUCCCCCUCCCCGAAGAGAAACUUAGUAAAGUGCAACUGUAAUAAAAUUGUCAAUAAGAGCACUCUAUUUGUAAUAAUGAUUCAGGAUAAGAUUUUUCUAUAAUUUUGGAUAUAUCUGAAAAGCAAAAAGGUAUUCUUAAUUAUCUGCAAAAAUGAGAUGGAAUUACAGCAAUCCUUCAAGAAGAAAUAGAAAUAGUUUUUAAUGAUAGCAUGAUUUAAAACAUUGAAGUACCUCACUUAGACUAAUGUAUUGGUCCUAACACCUUGAAUAUGGACAUGUUGCAAUGAGUUCUAGUUCUGAAAAUAAUAAGAAAUAUUGUAUUUAUUAUAAUAACCUUCUGAGUCAGUGAAAUCUUCUGAAAGUUAAAUGAUAGUCAUAGGAAAUGAGAGAAAGGAAAAAAGAUAUUAUGGCAAAAUAUUCUGAUGCUGGAAAAAGUCUACGAAUCUCUCUCUUUCUUUCCUUGUCUCUCUGACUUUCUUUUGUCUUUAACAAAGCAUUUAGAUGUUUGGCUUCCCACAUAUGUAAAUAAAAAGACUCUCAGUUGCAAGGCGUGUGUAGAUUUUUCAUCUAAUAGAUAAUUAGGGCACAGGACUCUUUCACUAAUCCUGUACUAUAAAGGACUAAACUUAUAGUUAUUAAGAUGGAAAUACACAUUUGAAACUAGUUCUUUGUUAACAAACCAAGCUAUAUGUACACUCAUGAUUUCACAUCUUUGUUUCCUCUGUGUGCUUUGGAAAGUUAUUGAAUACGUUUACAGCUUUUUGUGUGUGAAUACCUUUAUUAUGAUAUUUGAAUUGCUUUCCUGCUGAAGAGAUUUUUAAGGAAUAGAUCGUGUUUAGAAUGGAAACUUUCUAAAUUUAUACUCUGCCUUCUACUUUCCGAUCUUGUUAUGAUCCCCCUUCAUACACAAUAUCAGUUCUGUUUUUUAGUAAUUUCAUGCCUGCAAGCUAAGAUUACCAAUCUUUUUCUCUCUCCUCCUCCUCCUCCUCCUAAAUAUUCAAUUACUGAAUGAUAAUUAUUACUAUGUGGCCUUCUUGGCUUACUGUAUUAUUAGAUUAAUAUAGAUUUCUUGUGCCAAAUUACUGGGAAUCAUUUGUGUACAGAACAGCCAAGCAGGGAUUUUUUAAAAGUUCUUAUUUACUAAAUAACUAUUUGAAGGCCUUUCAAACAGAUCUAGCUUUACAAUUUCAGUAUAGUGCUGGUGAUUCCCCCAUUCUGGUUAUUGCCAAAGGACUAAAACUUUGCAACACUUUAUAAUUCAGUGUUGCGAAAAGUCUGGGGUGGUGGUGGGGAAUUCAGUACAAAUGCAAUUUAAAAUCAUUUGGCCUUUGAAUGGUUGGUAAGGAGACUAGUUAUAGAUGUAAGAAAAAGAACAGGCAUGGAGCUGUCCAUGGUGCCUUUUUCAAACAUGAUUUUAAAAAAGGUUUCCAUGGAGCAAACUUCCUACACUCCACUGUUUGUUAUAUUUGAAGUUGUAGUACCAUAAACAAUCUUAAAUUUUACUUUGGUUAGCAAAAGUACUUACUGAAAGCAUAUUAUGAAUGUUCCUAUUAUGUAAUCAAGAGCGAAAAAGCACAGACAACCACUCAUAACUAUCCAAAAUUUCACAAAGUUAUGAGUGUGUAGACAAAAUUAUCUUACCAUAGUUUUAAAACAAUGUGACACCUUGGAUUUGUUUGGGACUGUCAAGAGUUUGGUUCCCUAGCUUAGCAUAAGAAAGUUCUACAAGAUGCUUUUCUAUUAGCUGACUAAAAUGAACUGUGACCUAUAAAGCUUCUAGCUGAAAUUAAUGGUUGACUGUAAGAUAAACGGUUUCUAUGGUACUAGUACAGUGUAAACAACAAAAACCCCACUUUGUUUUACCUGAUUGCUCCUGAAAUGUAAUCUUGUCCUUAUGUGACCUACUAUGUUUUGGUAGAAAGUACAGUGUUUCUUUCAAGUUUGUUUCCUACGAAAUUGAUGGGAGAGGGACAAUUAUUAAGCAGAAAGUUUAGCAUCGUGAAAUUUAAAAUCCCAAGCGGUAUAUAAACAUUAAAAGAAACUUUGGACUGCUAAUCCUAGGAAAUGAGUUUUAUGGAUUGAAUUCAACAAGGCUUCAGAAAUGGUUCCAUCUGCUGCCUAGCAGCUGGUGAAAGGAUAAAUUUAAUUCAUUAAUUCAUUUGGAAAAAAGGAUCCAAGUAGUAAAGACUUCAUUGCUCAUAAUGCAUAUAGGUGGAAAUCAGAACUGAAAUUUGGCAUAAUAGAUCAUCUUUGAUAAUGAGCAAUAUUUUUGUCACUAUUUUUCCAACAAUCCUGAAAAUGUAUCUAACAUGUUUUGAAUUAUGUGAACCAUUAUUUUCAUUUUUAAGAAUUAAUUGUAGUCAUAAGAGUAUAGUUUCCUUCUAAACUUAGCAGUUUGUGUCUUAAGGCUUAUAUUCCAUUUCCUUGUCUGUUAACUUUGUUUUAUAUAACUUUGAAAGUAUGCUGUUGCUCUCUGAAACACAUCUUAGGUUCAUUCUGCAAGUAAGACACAUAAGCUGUUAUCCCUAUCUAUUCAAAGUGAUGAAUUUCCUUUAGCAUUCAGGAUGAAGACUUAAUAUAAUAUACAAGUUUAAAAGUCAGCUUUCACACCAGCUUUCACCCAGAAUGCUAGCAAAGGGUUUGUGUGUGUGUGUGUGUGUGUGUGUGUGUGUGUAUCCCUAAUUUUCACUGUAGUUAAAAAAAUGAGACUUCUUUCUUAUCUGCGCCUAUCUACUAUAAAAAGUUGUGCAGGAGUUAGACAUUACAGUCUAGUGACAUUUUAAUGAAACUUACUGAUUUAAGUAAGAAUUACAACUAUUUAAUAAAAUUAAAUAAAAGGAAAAAAGAUAUAAAACUUGGCAUAUAUCUUCCUGUCUUUCCUUAUAUCUAUUUUUUAAAUCCAGCAGUGAAUGAAAAGUUAUCCAAACUUUGGGGGGGGGGGCUCCCAUAAAGAAUUGCCUGGUUUUAUUUAGCGUUCUUAUUUUUUAACCAUAUGAGUAUAAGCAAAUGAGAUGAUCAUUAGUUGCUGACGAAUGUACUGAGUGACAAAGUUUAGUCGCUAAAGCAAUUAUAAUACAAGCCAAGUUGAGCAUGCAAAAUGUGUGCAUUUGCGAGUGUUUCUGCCUCAGAUGAUGAUUUCAUGAAUGAUAUUUGGCUUUCCCCUGUUCCCUCUGUAGCCCAUAGCUCACUGUGGUGGGUUUCUUGGAUUUACUAUAAAGGUUCUGUUCGCACCCUGUGGGUUGGGUUAAGAAUUAGGAUUUAUGCAUUUACUUCUACUGCUGCAUUGUUUAUACAGCUUUGGUUUAGUUUUGAUCCCUUUUUUUUGCCUUUGAGGCUCUUCCACAGUGUCAGCUGCUGACUGAUAGUAGGAGAACGGCCUCGUGGUGUGAAUGAAAGGGACCUAGCGGUUGGUAAACAGAGAUAAGGAAUAAAUAGAGCACAGGCAAAAGGAGAUAGUUCUGUGAGAGCCCAGAUUGCCGCCAGUCUGUUCAAGUGAGAUGCAGUGCCUGUCCUUUUCCCAGAUUAAAUUAGUGUGCGAAAUCUCCAGUGACCUCCUCCCCUUCUCCCCAUACUCUUUAGCCAAGCUGAACAGCCUCUGCUGUAAAGUAUUCAUUUUAUCCAGGGACAAGUUGGACAAUAGAACUCUCCCUGAUACUUAUGGACAGCUGUCGUCAUUCAGAGGGCUUUUCAGCAUUUUCAUUUUUCAUAGGAGUUAAAAGGGUUUAUGCCUUGUAACUGAAGAGAGGGUAGAAAUACAGAGAUGCCAACUCUGAGGUUGCCUGGAAAGACAGGAGGUGGGGGUGGAAAUACACCUUUGCCAACCUGUGACAAAGCUGCUCAUCUUGUUGUUUUUCUGUUUCUUAAAGGGAUUUUAGGAUGAUAAUGUGGUUACACUGAAGCAUGAACUGGAUGGAGGAAAUAACAAUAAAGUGCAGGAACAUGCAGGGUUUCCAAAAGUUAUUGCAAUUAUUAAAGGUCACUAGUGCAAACCUUACAGAGUGUCCCAUCUCAUUCUUCCUCAUUUUUUUGCAUUUAAAUCUGCUGCCUUUUUCAUUCAACAAACUCCCAAGAAACAUUAAAGCCUCAUGAGAUACCUCUGUGGUCUCAUUUUUUUUUUUUUUGUGAUUUACUGCAAAUAUAUUCAGCAUCUGACUGAUUAAAUAGACCUUCGGCAACCUUGAGGGUCACUGUGUAGAGUAUGUACAUAGAAAAUGCAUCAGCCCAUUGUACCCUGGCAGCUAAUGAGAUUGGUCGUUAAGUAAAUGACACAAAGCCUACAAAAAAAGCUUAGCAGCUCACUAGAGUAUCACAGAGUGUCCCUGCACACCACACAACGACACAAACACUGGACUAACCUAGCCCACCCCUGCUUUAUUCUACAUCACUGCUUCCCUGAUGUCAGCGCGAGAGGCAGAACAAAGGCUAAAAGGCACACGGUAAGUCAGUCUGACAAUUAUGCCCUGGGGGAAAGGAGAGCAAAUCUUAGCCUAACCAUAGCUUGAAAGUCUGUUUUGGACAAGUAGGUCAUAAUGAAGGGAUUGCUUUUGUGCCACUUCCGAACAGGGGCGGGGGGGUGUCUGUGGAAUCAGUGCCUUUUUCUCUGUGUGUCAUCUUUACAAAAGUUUUGAAUUUCUAAAGUAAAGCAGAAUGGAAUGCUCAGUGAACUUAACGUUGCUGUGACUUAAGAGGAUGCUGUGGGAAGAAAUGCAUUCUUUGACAGAUCUGAAUACAGUAAGCACUAUCACCAACUUUACAAGAAUCCACUAUUUUUCUAGCUUUAUAGAGGACCAAAAUCUUUUAAAGAUACACUAUAGAAAUAACUGUGUAUUAAUUUCAGAUUUCAACCUCCUUCUCAGCUGCUUGUUCCCUUGAAUAAAUGGCAUGACAUUUAGAAUGAUGUGUACCAAAAUGAAGCUUUUUAUCAUUUUGGAUGUUCAGACACAGUAUUAAAUCAUGAUGUAUUUUGCUCUCAGUUGCCCACUUGCUUUUGCUGAAAAUAAAGAUGUGAAGAUGUAUUGAUUGCAAGCAUAACACCAGUAGCUGUUUUGUUUUUGUUUUGGUCUUAAAAAAAAAUACAUACAGAGGAAAAUAGCUGUGGUUGCCUGUUUAUGUGAUGUGUAUGUACAUUAGUGAUGACUGAGUUUAGCAGAUCAAAGAAUCCCUUUCAUGCACUUCUCUUUUUUUAUUCUGGGGAAAAAAAUGGCAACAGGAAGUUGCAAUGAAGUCUUGCUUAUGCACCUUAGAUAUUUUCUGCUACUUUUACCUCCACAUGUAGUUACAAGUGUCAGGGAGGGUAUUAUGUGGCAAGUUAUAGUUACAAGAUAUUUCAGGUGAAUCCCAUAUUUUCUUCUAAAGUUGCUGAAAUAUGUUGAUAACAGUGAGAAUCAGAUAAUAUAUUUUCCUUUGAGAAACAUGUUAAAAUACACAGACCAGAGUGUUGUUUUUGCAUUAUCAUGUCCCACAAUCUUCCUUUCAUAAUUUAGAAGCUACUACAUUUUGGAAAACAAAAAUUGCUCAUGUGAUUUAUAAAACUAAGUCAGAAUAAUCAGAUUAUUUAUGCAAACUUUUCUCACUCAGCAAAGGUUUCCUAAAUUGUAAUACAUUUAUUUGGUCACUCAUUUCAGCCAAACUUACCUGCAACUAUUUACAGGUACUGGGCAUUGUAACCUAAAACUGCAAUCCAGACUGCAGUGAAGUUAGCAAUAAUUUUGACAUAGAUAACAGAACACACACAAAAGGUGUAAUUUGUGUGUGACAUUUGUCACAAACCAGUUGCUGUAAGUUUAUAUUCUCUAAAGAACAUUUUAAAAGUUAAAUUGUAAACAAUGUUAAUAGCAUGAUUAACAAUCUGUACAUGGCUAGUACCAGGUUGUUCAUCUGCAACUGUGCUUUACACCUUCAAUUUUUUCUGCUUGGACAGCUGAAUGAGAAGUGUGUGAAUACUUGAUAAUUAUGAUUUUACCAUAUGUUCUUGGAAGUGUGUAUCCCAGUAACAUAUAUGUUUGUUUAAUUCCCUAAAACAUGGAAUACAACUGUUUAUUUUAUUUAGUAACAGCUAUCUUGAGAAAGUAAAAGUAUCUAGUAAGCAAUACUAAAUUCACUACAGAACAUGAAGUAUCAGCUAGAGUUUUAUUUUGAACUUUCCCAAUUAACAUUAAUGCGUAAUUCAAUUUUCUCUGUAAGGUGAUGUUCUUACCUAUAGACGUAAUCUUUUUUCAUUAGGAAUUUUCAUAGAAUCAUCAAGUGGUUCUUACUGUAUUGCUUUUGCAUUGUAGGCACUUUUAAACAAUGGUGUUUACAUUAGUUAAGUUUAGGCACCUGUAAGUUACCCAGCCGCUUUUCAUGGCCAUGUGUUGGUUAAACUUCUUGUCGUGCUUUCAUAAGUAUUGUACAUACAAUCUGCAUGUAGAAAAAUCAUACACACCAGAUCCUUAUGAUAAUAUUUUAAAAGUCUAAUGAUUUCCAUAAGAUCAUUACUUCCCCACCCCAAAAGCAUUUCCCUUCCCAAAGACAGAUAAACAGAAAAUCAUUCCCGCAUGAGUUUUAAGACCAGCCAUCAUUUUAUCACUUUUCAACUGGGACAAGGCAUAGUGCUCAAAAACUACUGUGGCAGGAAGAUGCCCCACCAUGGCUAAGACAACUCAGCAGUGCCAGCUCACAUCAGUGUAUAUUUUAUUUCCUAACUCUGUGAGUUUGCUUUCUUGGGUCAUUCCCCCACCCCCCAACACUGAGAUUUUCACUAUUUUAAUUUCAGAAGCCUGAAGCUGACAAGUGCUUCAUAAUUUUCUCCAAAACAAUCUUUUUCAUGACAGUUACCAACAGGCUGGCACACUAGCAUAGUUUAGUGACAUGCAAUGUAGCAAAUCAUAAGGUCAGCAAGUUGCAACCUAAAUCUCCGGGUUGGCAUCUGAUUGUGUAAAUCAAGAGUGGCUUCAAAUACAGACGAUCCUGUCCCUCCAUGUUUGUAAACAGCAUUUGCUGAUUGCAUUAAAAACCCAAAAAGUAGCGCCGGGUUUUAAGGGUCUUAUCAAUUGCACUAAACUUGAAGAACUUUAACAAAAAAAUAUUUUGUGGUUGUAAAAUAUAACCUUACAACUCUCAGCCAAAAUGAAAAUAAAAUACAUCUUGUCAUGUCCAGGGAGAUGGUGAUGGGGAAGACCUUUGCCUCAGACCCUGGAGAGCUGGAGCUUGUCAUACUAGACCAGGCUAAGAAAAUGAGAAAACUACUUGAACCUGUAUAGAGCAGCUACCCAUAUUUCUAUGCUCUAAGUUACUUUUGGACAACGAACUUUUGAAACGGCUAAAAAGCAAGAUCUUUAGCUAUGGCAAAAGCUUGUUCUCAAAGUUAACUUUUUGUCAUCUUUUCAUUAGCUCUUGGUUUUGCUCUUGUAGGCCAACAAAUUGAAAAAAUACAACUAAGUUUUUCCAAUCACAGACGUAUUUCUAAAAUAUACUGUCAUUUGAGACCAUUUGACUUUCAUUUGAGGUUCUUGUUCCCCACAGUGCCAUUGAUGACCCAAAAAAGUUUUGUCUUUGAAAGUUUACUGCAGUUAAAACUUUAUUUUCUACUUUUUUCAUGAUGCAACAGGAAAUGUAUCACCAUAUAGCAAUCACCUAUAUAGAACAGACACCCCAUCUCUACCUACUGUUAUUGGGAUACCUAUAAAGCAGCUGGAAUGGCAGGACAAAUUAGUAAUAGCUCCAAAGGCACUGUUAUGGACUAUCAGGUCAAUUGACAUGAUACAGAGUACUAGCUCUGUUGAUUCUCGGGGUCCCCCAACCCCCACAAGCCACUUUAAAAGCAAUCAAAGAAUUAUUUGCCCUGCCAGCAUCAGAUAUGUGAUAUUAAAUGAAAUAGUUUGCAUUAUCAAAAAGUGCAUUUAUAGACCCAAACAGAUAUUUACAAUGUCCAAAUACAAUCUAACAUUUAAAUGGGACUUUCCUCCCCGAAGGAGACUAUGUUUUCAGAGUGCUGAACAAAAUUGUACUUCAGUGACAUUUUCUUGUCCCUUGAUUAUAGUAUGAAGAUAUAAAUCCAUUUGCAAACAAAAUUGCCCUUUUUCCAAAUUAUGUAUUUUGUGCUUGUAAAAAUAGCCAAGCAAUUUAAACAUAAUGUGGUCUUUUGCAUUUGUCUCUUGCAACCAGAUCCUAAACACAUUUCCUUAGAAGUAAGACCCACCGAGUUUAAAUGAGGCUUUCCUAAAGAAUGUGUGGAUAGAAUUGCAGCUUCUUAUAUGAUACCUAUAAGAUGUAUCACUAAACACUACAAAUCUGAGCAUCCAGAAUUUAAUAUAAGUAUGAAUGCUAGGUUCUUGUUACUCAUCUACGUUUCAUAUUAACAUCAGAAUAAUUCCAGAAAACAUACAUAUUUCUCUAUCAGGACAUGCAAUAAAUAUGUCAAAUAUGUCAAAAAGGAACGGUUUAACAAUUAAUUUUUCAUAAAUAAAUGAUAGUAAUAAUAUCCUGUUUUUAAAAACAGACAAAAAUUACCAUCCAAUACAGACGACAAGCUACUAGAAGCUAUACAAAUUUUGUUGGAUGAAAUUCCAGAGCAACAAUCAAGUGAUCAUUCGAAUAUGCCAUUUUUACCAGAUUUUGUCCAGCUAAUCAUGGCUUUUGUACAAAUGACAUUUCCACUAUGAUAAGAAGCAAACAUCAUAAAGUAGACUAGAUGAAUUAUUGACUGAGUACGAUCAAAAUACAUAUUCAGUAAAAGAUCACCCUUGCUAAAGAGGAAAAGUGCAUAAUGUUUAAGUUUGUGGUCAACUUGUUUGAGCGGAGCUUUAGCUGCUCUGUAUGUGAACCAUCGCCUCAGCGAAAAGGGUUAAAGAAAACGCAUUCUGUUGCAUCUGCUUAUUAAAUCCCUUACUUUAGUAGAAAUUCAAAUUUUGUAAGAUUAUUCGUUUUAUUGAUGCAUAUAAUUAUAAUCACAAGCCAUCUGCUGAUUUGGCAGGCAUGGUUAAAAUCUCUAACUCUCAUAACCUUUCAAGUACAGUGCCCUUGGGACUCUAUUUCACUUUUAUAUUUUGGAAAACACAUAUGAACAAACAAGAGAGGUCAUCUGCCGAAAGUCAGAUUUGUUAAAAAUCCCUCUGUGUUAGAGAACCUGGGCCUAAGCAUAAAGAAAGUAUCCACCCCUCCCAAAGUAUUGUGUUUUUGGUUUUUUAAAAUUCUAUCUCCAGGAACAGAUUAUUCUAUCAUGCAGUUGGGGAAUUUGAAUUUUUGCUAGGGAUUAAAGCUCUUUUCUCUCACUCUUGGGACCAUGGUUCCAUUUUUAAACUAAAAGAACAAAUAUUGCUCAGUUUAGUUGUCACAGGUGAUUGAAACACAUUUGACCUUGCCUGCAUUUGAAGCACAUUUUAUUUGGAGAACUGAUAUCACAAAGCAGCUAAAAUACUCAGCUUCAACUGAAAAGUCCCAGGUUUGGAUCUUACCAUGAAUUCGAUAAAUGUCUUUAGUGAAAAAUUCGGUCUCAGUCUUCUAUCUGCAACAUUAUUCACCUUAUAGUGAAGUUCCUUGAACAAUUAUUAUUAUUAUUAUUAUUAUUAUUAUGCUCUUAGAAUAACAAUGCUUCUGUUUCUUAUGGGGAGAAUAGGUUGUACAUUUGUCCUAAUAUCUGCCUUUCACCAUGAAGAUCAGAGGCCAUUACUUUACUUUUGAAGACUGGACUUGGCAAUACACAAAAUGUAGCACCUCAUCAAUAUUCCCUCUGGCCUCCCUUAACUGUACACAUAUUUGUGUCAUGCUGGCCACUUGCCUUUGUUUGUCAGGGGUCAUCCACUCUGGCUUCUGCUGGGAAGGCAACACAGAGUUGGUGGGUGAUCAAACUUGAAUGAUACUGGAAUUAUUAUUUUUAUCUGAAUAUCCUGAAACAUGGAGAGACAUUGAGGGGUGGGUGAGCUAGUGAAGUGACUGAAAUCUGCAAGUGUAAAACUUGGAGUACAUUAAAAGUGCCGUUUGAUAUUAAAAUACUGUUCCAUAUUCAAUUAAUCCCAACAUAAUGUUGCCAUACUUUAGACCUGUUUUGUUAUAAUUCUCACUGUAUCAUAAGCUGAAACUUUGCCUUCUGUUUAAUCAGUAAUACAUAAAAGGGAUAUAUGCAGCAUGCCUGUCGAUUUGCACCUUUUGGGAAGUUUGAUUCUUGCACCACACCCCCGUUUACAGAGAAACAGGAGGUGAAUGCACAUGUUUGAAAGUGUCUGCGCAGCUGAAACAAGGGAAACUGGCUGAAUGUAGCUCUGGUUUAUUUUGCAACCAAUUAAGUACGACAUCUGUUGAAACACAGGAAACCAAGGCUCCCUUCCCCCCUUUCAUAGAGUUAUUUGAACUGUUUGUCUUUCAUGUGGUAAUCACAAAUGAUCAUCUAAGAAAUCAAGACGAUGGUGUACCAAGUUAAUAGAAACUAUUUUAAAAGGCUGUGUUUGUGAGGAUGGGUUUACUGGGUGUGGAGAGCAAAACCAAAUACUCAGGCACAGAAAUAUCAUGAUCACCCACUAAAAUGGACGUUGUCAUCAGGCUAUAAUCAUAGAGCCACUUACCUGGGAGUAAGUUCCAUUGACCUCAAUGGUGAUUUUAUUUUUCUUACACCUGUAUCUCACCUUUCUUCUGUCAUGGAAUCCAAGGUAGUAUUUAUGGGGUUCUCAGGCAGUCAGCCAUCCAGGCACUGACCAGACCCAAACCUGCAUAUCUACAGCAAGGCAGUGGCGUAGCGUGGGGGGUGCAGGGGGGCUGGCCGCACCGGGCGCAACAUCUGGGGGUUAGGGUUAGGGUGCACAAAUCCACGGGUUAGGGGGCGCAAAUUACUUGCCUUGCCCCGGGUGCUGACAACCCACGCUACGCCACUGCAGCAAGGUGGUAGCCUCAUGUUCCUUCAGAUCAUAUCCUCAACAUGAAGUUGAUGCCACAGGCAACAUUUUUUAAAAGCACAGUUUCUGUUUGUGGUUGCCUGUAACACACACAUUGUGCAUGCAAGAAAAGUUGCUACUUGUUAUUUAUAGCACAGUUCAUACAAAGUUUUGGGCAGAGCUCUGGCAUACACACAAAAGUUCCACAUAAGUAGUAAGUUCUGGGCCUUAUAUCUUAUGCACCCUUACAACAGCAAAGGUAGGUCACUCUUAUUCUGUAGGAAAGAAAGAUGGGAUAGGAUUAAUCAAUGGUCCCCAGUAAACUCUUGGUCCAUGAGUUGCAAAUCUAAUACG